AUGGUUCCCUCCUGGGAUGCUCUGCCUUCCGCUGGGUACCAGCCAUCCUGCAAUGGGAUUGAGGGAAUCCUGGGCUCCUGUAGUGUAAGAGAUGAAGUCUUCCUAUCUAUGCCUGAACUGCCCUUUCCUUCCUUACUCUGCAGAUCCUUGAACAGCCUCCUCCAUGCUGCACCCUGGGCAGGAGCAGCAGCAGCCCAGGAAGAAGAUAAAGGAGCAGAAGCAGCUUCUUCCAUCCUCUGGUGCUGCCCACACCUCUUCCACCUCCCGUGGGAUGGGCGAGUCCUUGGCUCCUGGCUUGCUCUGCCAUUUCUAGGGACAAACCAGCUAAGUAAGGUCUAUUUAUAUGACUGUUCCCAGCUCUUCCCACUCCACAAAUUCACCCAGAGACUGUCUUGAUUGUAUAAUACACAUUAUAUGGAAGCUAUUUAUAUAUGAAUGAAUGUUUUUAUAGAAAGGAAGGCAAGGAGCUCGUGUUCUCCCUCCUCCAUUAAACUGGAACGGCGGCUCUGCUUGCCAGAUAGCAAUCUCUGACCAGCACAGAUGUGUUAGCAAAGGCCUGACUGAUUCCUGCUUUCAAUAAACUGUGGUUUGCUGAUGUUCCUGAUUGCACCAUUCCCGUCGUGUCCCAGCAUCCUUGAAACUCGGGAAGAAACACAAGGAUUUAGUUGAGCAGAUGAAGGAGCUUUGUAACACUGAGGCAAUGGAGGUUGUCUAGGCUAGCUGUUUACACUUCUUUCUACCAUAGGAACUUUGCAAUGGGCAAACCUUUCUAGAUCCACUAGUGCUGGAGCUGUUCUUUUGGACUCCCAUAGGGAAUCAAAGGGACAGUUGCUGUAGCCUUUAGGGCCUCCCAGGUGUUCAGUAUUGCUUCUUGUACUGCGUUUUCCAAUAAACUCUCCAACAAAACCAGUCCCUGACCCUGGAGCCUUUUUCCCUUCUCCCCCCCCCCCCCCUCCAGGGCUCUCUUCCCAACCUGGCUUCCUGGCAGUUUGCUUUGUCUGACCUAGGCCAGACCCAUGGCCCCCGAACCGCAUCUGCUGCAGCCUGCAGUGAUACCCAGGGCUCCCCCCAGCCCUGGGAUGUGUUUUCCUGCACUCCCGGUAUUUCAGACCCUCAGUCAGCUCCAGGGGGGCACAUGUGGGACCAAGACCCCCAGAAAGAGCCAAAGAGGACCCCAAGAGUCCAGGUUUCCCCUAAAGCAUCACCACUUAAUGGAAAACCUCCCUUGAAGCUACUGUGUGAGGUUCCUGCCCAGGGGCUGCCUGACCCCGAGCUGGAGCAGGGGAGAUGGUGUCCAGCCCAUCC
rnacentral:lncRNA from 1 species